AGCUCUUGCAUUGGCCGAAGAUGAGACGUACGACCCCCUUCCUCCCUCCUGCCAUGGCAACUCCAAGGAAACUUAGCAGGGGGAUGUGGGAGGAGCGUGGCUUUGAGGUCCAGGUGGUCCAGGCUGCGUAAAAACGCACCAAACGCACGCCAAAGUCUUACGAAACCAAAUCGUGUAGCGUCAUCCAGCUCCUGGCACCUUUAUGAAUGAGCUGUUUUUCAGAGAGAAGAGGGGGAAAAAACUUGUGGAUUUGCUGCUGGAGGAAAAAAUAAACAAAAGGAGUUGAACGCGCUCGGCUGGUGCGUCGCUGCGAUCUCUCCAGAAGGCGAACAGUUGGACUUCAGCUUCUUUUUCUUUUCUUUUCUUUUUUCAAAUUAAAGAGCCUAAAUAGACAGCUUUGCUUUUCAGAAGAGUGUCUGUUUCAGCGACAAGUGGAGAUAUGUUUAAGAAAACCAAGAGCAAAGUGCUGGUGGAUUAUGCGUCAGAGGAGGACGACAUGUCCUGGCACUAUCAUCACUCCUACAAGGAAAAGCAGAAAGAAGGGGGAGCAGAUGGAGGAGGAGGACAAGUGCUCUAACUCAUGUCAGGUCAGCUGAGGAGGAAAAAGGCCAAGAGGUCAAAGAAGAGACAAUCGAAUGUAAUUUACACUGCAGACGUGUAAACAGGACUUUUUCUUUGCUCUAAUCCACACAGGUGUGUAACAAAGUUGUGAUAAGUGUCGCUUAAAGUACAAUAUAAGGAGUCAAAUUGCUUUAUUUCCAACUAUAAAGGUUCUGACUGAAGAGGCGACGGCUCAUGAAUGUCUCUUUGCUUUCUUUGUGCUGUAUGUCUGGUAUCCCGGUGUGUGAGGUCUGAAGAGCCUCAGGAUCAGCACUAGCAGCCAGCUGGACUCUGUCACGCUGUUUGGGGGGUGAACAUGUGGGAGUAGAGGCAUAACAAAUAGCAAGGUGACAUGUUUAUCUGUGGAAAUAGGUGUAGUAUAGUGGGUCUGUAACUUGCAGAACCUGAGUCAGGUUGUUAAUAAAGCUGAAAUAGAGCAGGUUCCAGGUGUUUAGUUAAAUGCAGGAAUUCUUGUAGAAAUAAGAGCAGGAUAUUGGGUAAUUUCCAAAUAUCUGGAGAGAUAAAUAUGCCAGAUCUCACCAUUUUUGUUUUUCUUUCCUUCCUCAUAAAUGUUGGAGUCAAAAUAGUGUGCUGUCGUCAUACUUGUUAUCAGCUCCCUGUAC
ensembl:lncRNA